UACGUAGGCAGCGAGCGUUGUUCGGAAUUACUGGGCGUAAAGAGUGUGUAGGCGGUGCUCUAAGUUCGGUGUGAAAUCUCCCGGCUUAACUGGGAGGGUGCGCCGGAAACUGGAGUGCUCGAGCGUGGGAGAGGAAAGCGGAAUUCCUGGUGUAGCGGUGAAAUGCGUAGACAUCAGGAGGAACACCUGCGGUGUAGACGGCUUUCUGGACCAUUGCUGACGCUGAGACACGAAAGCGUGGGUAGCAAACAGG
rnacentral:rRNA from 1 species